rnacentral:rRNA from 1 species
AAUUUACCUAACCCCAAACAUACCACAAACUAGAAACUAAACCAUUUUUCCCCCUAAGUAUCGGAGACAGAAACGGGUCACCAAUGAGCGAUAGAGAAAGUACCGCAAGGGAAAGCUGAAAAAGAAAUGAAAUAAACCAAGUUAAGCCUGAAAAAGCAAAGACUAACCCUUGUACCUUUUGCAUCAUGAUUUAGCCAGCACCCCCAAGCAUAAAGAACUUUAGUUUGACACCCCGAAACUAGGUGAGCUACUUCGAGUCAGUCUAGUAAUAGGACUAACCCGUCUCUGUGGCAAAAGAGUGGGAAGAACUUUGAGUAGAGGUGAAAGACCUUUCGAACCUAGUAAUAGCUGGUUGCCUGCCAAUUGAAUAGAAGUUCAGCCUCUUGACUUCUUCAUUGACUCAAUCCCUACAACCAUGACAAGAAAUUAAGAGAGUUAAUUAAAGGGGGGACAGCCCCUUUGAAAUAAGACACAACUUUUACAGGUGGCUAAAGAUCAUACAAACUUAAGGCACAGUGUUUUGGUGGGCCUAAAAGCAGCCACCCACCCAGAGGGCGUUAAAGCUCAAACACCUCCCCCGCCCCAUAUUCUGAUGAUUUUAUCUUAGACCCCUAAAUUUACCGGGCCAGCCUAUGCAACCAUAGGCGUGACCAUGCUAAUAUGAGUAAUUGGGGGCCUGACCCCCUCCCUGCACACGUGUAAAUCGGAACGGACCCCCCACCGAACUUUAACGGCCCCAAACAAAGCGGGAACUGAAUAUUAAACCUAACAACCAGAAAACCAUUCACCCAUUACCGUUAACCCUACACAGGCAUGCUUUUAAGGAAAGACUAAAAAAAGAAGAAGGAACUCGGCAAACACCCAAGCCUCGCCUGUUUACCAAAAACACCGCCUCUUGUAACCAAUAAAUAAGAGGUCCCACCUGCCCACUGACUAUAUGUUUAACGGCCGCGGUAUUUUAACCGUGCAAAGGUAGCGCAAUCACUUGUCCUUUAAAUGAAGACCUGUAUGAACGGCACAACGAGGGCUUAACUGUCUCCUUUUUUAAGUCAAUGAAAUUGAUUUUCCCGUGCAAAAGCGGGAAUAAAACCAUAAGACGAGAAGACCCUGUGGAGCUUAAGACACUAAGCAGCCCAUGUUACAAUUACCCCUUUACAAAGGAUCAAACUAAAUGUUUAGCCUGCCUUAGUAUCUUCGGUUGGGGCGACCCCGAGGAACAAAAAAACCCCCGGGUGGACUGGGACAGCACACCCUAAAACCAAGAGCCACCCCUCUAAUCAACAGAACUUCUGACCAAUUAGAUCCGGCAAAGCCGAUUGACGAACCAAGUUACCCCAGGGAUAACAGCGCAAUCCCCUUUCAGAGCCCAUAUCGACAAGGGGGCUUACGACCUCGAUGUUGGAUCAGGACAUCCUAAUGGUGUAGCCGCUAUUAAGGGUUCGUUUGUUCAACGAUUAAAGUCCUACGUGAUCUGAGUUCAGACCGGAGCAAUCCAGGUCAGUUUCUAUCUAUGAAAUGAUUUUUUCCAGUACGAAAGGACCGAAAAAACGAGGCCCCUGCUCAAAACACGCCCCCCCCUUAUUAAUGAAGCCAAAUAAAAUAAGCAAAAGGGCAUACCUUUCAGCCUGAGACUAAGGCAC